rnacentral:rRNA from 1 species
GAUGAACGCUGGCGGCGUGCCUAAUACAUGCAAGUCGAGCGAACGGACGAGAAGCUUGCUUCUCUGAUGUUAGCGGCGGACGGGUGAGUAACACGUGGAUAACCUACCUAUAAGACUGGGAUAACUUCGGGAAACCGUAGCUAAUACCGGAUAAUAUUUUGAACCGCAUGGUUCAAAAGUGAAAGACGGUCUUGCUGUCACUUAUAGAUGGAUCCGCGCUGCAUUAGCUAGUUGGUAAGGUAACGGCUUACCAAGGCAACGAUGCAUAGCCGACCUGAGAGGGUGAUCGGCCACACUGGAACUGAGACACGGUCCAGACUCCUACGGGAGGCAGCAGUAGGGAAUCUUCCGCAAUGGGCGAAAGCCUGACGGAGCAACGCCGCGUGAGUGAUGAAGGUCUUCGGAUCGUAAAACUCUGUUAUUAGGGAAGAACAUAUGUGUAAGUAACUGUGCACAUCUUGACGGUACCUAAUCAGAAAGCCACGGCUAACUACGUGCCAGCAGCCGCGGUAAUACGUAGGUGGCAAGCGUUAUCCGGAAUUAUUGGGCGUAAAGCGCGCGUAGGCGGUUUUUUAAGUCUGAUGUGAAAGCCCACGGCUCAACCGUGGAGGGUCAUUGGAAACUGGAAAACUUGAGUGCAGAAGAGGAAAGUGGAAUUCCAUGUGUAGCGGUGAAAUGCGCAGAGAUAUGGAGGAACACCAGUGGCGAAGGCGACUUUCUGGUCUGUAACUGACGCUGAUGUGCGAAAGCGUGGGGAUCAAACAGGAUUAGAUACCCUGGUAGUCCACGCCGUAAACGAUGAGUGCUAAGUGUUAGGGGGUUUCCGCCCCUUAGUGCUGCAGCUAACGCAUUAAGCACUCCGCCUGGGGAGUACGACCGCAAGGUUGAAACUCAAAGGAAUUGACGGGGACCCGCACAAGCGGUGGAGCAUGUGGUUUAAUUCGAAGCAACGCGAGGAACCUUACCAAAUCUUGACAUCCUUUGACAACUCUAGAGAUAGAGCCUUCCCCUUCGGGGGACAAAGUGACAGGUGGUGCAUGGUUGUCAUCAGCUCGUGUCGUGAGAUGUUGGGUUAAGUCCCGCAACGAGCGCAACCCUUAAGCUUAGUUGCCAUCAUUAAGUUGGGCACUCUAAGUUGACUGCCGGUGACAAACCGGAGGAAGGUGGGGAUGACGUCAAAUCAUCAUGCCCCUUAUGAUUUGGGCUACACACGUGCUACAAUGGACAAUACAAAGGGCAGCGAAACCGCGAGGUCAAGCAAAUCCCAUAAAGUUGUUCUCAGUUCGGAUUGUAGUCUGCAACUCGACUACAUGAAGCUGGAAUCGCUAGUAAUCGUAGAUCAGCAUGCUGCGGUGAAUACGUUCCCGGGUCU